rnacentral:lncRNA from 1 species
GGUACUUGGUAUUGGUUCAGGUGUGUAGAUCUCAGAUUGAGUCCUCUACAGAGGCAGCUUCAUUGGCCUGCUGUGUAGAGGUUUGUGGCUAUUCAGAACAGCUGGUUCAAGUUGGGUUCUACCUCAUCCUGCUGAGAUUAGACCUUUGACUGAUUUCCUCCCAUCACUUCCUGUGCCAGCUUGUGCCUGGCCUCUGUUCUGGAUAGAUUUUGCAGGGCUGCUUUCUUCUGUGAAGGAAGAUUUUGGAAAAAGAGGCAAGAAGGACAUGGAAUGUUGUGGAACUACAGAGACAGGGGUUGACCUGAUUGGAAUCUUCAAAGAUGGGGGCUGGGAGAUCUAAUGGCCAAAGAGAGGAGAUUGGGUUUGAUCUUAGGAGGAAAAGCUGACCCAGAUCCAGCUCAACCAGAUCUGGAAACUGCUAAAGCCUUCAACUCUGCUGACACACUAAGAAGACCAACAUUGAGAUUUGAGAGCUGAUUGAACUGCUAAAGGUUGCUUUAGAGAGUUUGCUUCCCUGAGGUGGACCUGAUCACUCCUGACUCCUGCUUUCAAUGCUAUCAAGACUAAAGCCUUAAUACCUAUGAGGGUUAUAGCUUAGAAAUAGGUAGAUAGAAGGGGAACUUUGUUUUGAGAUCAUAUCAUAUGAGGAUUGUUUGAAGGAAAGGAAAGUUAAAGGCAGCUGCCCAGAUCUUUGGAUUAAGAAGGAAAGGACAAAAAUGGCCAAUAAGGAGUGGAAGCACAAGAGAAUGUUCCAACUUGCAUUAUUGGAAGGAGUUUCCUUAUUUGGAGUUCUAUGUGUGAAUGAUGUAAAAAAUCCAGGUCUUCUCCUCUUGAUUAUCUCCAAGAAACCUUUCCAAGCUAAAAUUAUAUGGAAACAAAAAGACCUCUUGUUAUGUCA